rnacentral:lncRNA from 1 species
NNNNNNNNNNNNNNNNNNNNNNNNNNNNNNNNNAGGCAGAGGUUGCAGUGAGCAGAGAUCCUGCCACUGCACUCCAGCCCAGGCAACAAGAGCGAGACUGUGUCUCAAAAACAAACAAACAACAACAACAACAAAAGGAAAGAAUCAGACUGGCUUGGGGCCGGCUCCCAGGACUCAUGCCUGGCACAGACACCAUCUGCCUGGCAGGGCAAAGAAAGGCGUCUGUGAGUGUGGGAGGAUUCCGAGUCUAACACCCUGAGCCCAGCCAGGUUCGACAGGAAAUGCUGCUGCAAGGAAUUCAUCCGUAGGCUAGCACUACAACCUGGAGGCAGGGAGCAGUGAGGAGUGGAAAUCUUCCCAUCAGAAGUGAGGAAGGCUGGAUACGGUGGCUCACACCAGUAAUCCCAGCACUUUGGGAGGCAAAGGCAGGAGGAUCACUUGAGCCCAGGAGUUUGAGACCAGCCUGGGCAACUUAGCAAGACCUUGUCUUCAAAAAAAAAAAAUUUUUUUUUUUUACAAGGAACUACACAGAUGGCAAAACUCAAAAAAAAAAAAAAAGUGGGAAGAGGGGAGAAAGGGAGAUCAAUGUCUUCUACAGAUUUCAUCUUGUCGGGUGGAGAGUGUGAGGAGUAGAGCCACGUGGUAGGAAACUGUUGGUGUCUUGUUUGCGAAUGACUUUGGAACAAAGACCACCUGAUAAGCACAGUUAAGGAAUGAAAACACACAGGGACUUCCCAGGGAGCCAGGAGGACACUGGGGGAGCAGGAACACCUGCCUUUCCCAUGGGGCCCUGGUGUGCCCAGCCCUCCACUUCAUGUCUGACCCACGUGCUCUCCGGCUGACCUCCUGGGACUCGCACCCGGCCCCCACUUGGUAUCUGAGCCACGUGCUUCCCGGCCCCCACUUGGUAUCUGAGCCAUGUACUUCCCGGCUGACCUCCCGCAACGUGAAGACUACUCUCGCUCCCUUCAAGGCCACUGUCCCCACCGCAGCCAGAGAGGUGUUUUAUAGUUCAAAUCCUGCCCAGGCACCAUCUUGCCUAAAGGCAGCCCUGAGCCGGAAUCUGUGUGCUUUGCUGAUGGGACUGUAAAAUGGCGCAGUCACUUUUGAAACAGUCUGACAGUUCCUCAAAAGCUUAAACAUAGACUUACCACAUACCCAGCAAUUCCACGCCCAGGCUCUGCCCCAGGAGAAUUGAAAACAUCUAUCCACACGGAAACUUGUACACAAAUGUUCACAGUUGCACUAUUUAUCAUCAUCAGGAUGCCUGUAAUUGAUGAACAGAUGAACAAAUUGUGCUAUAUCCAUAUAAUUAAAUAUUAUUCAGUCAUAAAAAAGAAUGAGGCCGGGUGUGGUAGCUCACGCCUGUCAUUGCAGCACUUUGGGAGGCUGAGGAGGGCGGAUCACAAGGUCAGGAGAUCGAGACCAUCCUGGUUAACACGGUGAAACCCCGUCUCUACUAAAAAUAC